CACCUGGGCAGAAGUUACCUAGGACACUAAGGAAUUAAAUGGAGGGCAUACCCCAGAGAUGGAAGACAAUGUAUAAACACAUGGAAGAAUAAGACAGAAUGGUGUGUUUAGAGAAUUAUAAGUAGGUCACUUUUCCAACAAAAUAAGUUGUAAAAAAAAUUAGAAUGGAUAAUAAUACAGAUUAAAACAUGAACUUGUUGAGUGAAUGGCACCCCCAAAACAGUCUGUGAAAUUCCAAAAAUCAGACAGUAAUCUAUUUCAUUUAUUUAUUUGCAAAUAUUCAAGGAUUUUCUGUGAUGAAAGGCAUGGGACUUCAGUGAAGAAGGCACAAUGCAGAGCAAGACAAGCAACAUCCUUUUCCGCAUCCUUUUCCGCAUUGAUUUAGUUCCCAGGAGGUAGAAACAGACAAGACAAAGAACAGAUGCUAAUGUUGUUCAGCUGUGUCGCUGUUGGGAGGCUGCCCUCACACACUUGUAUUUGGAACUCAUGGGGAUACCUGUCGCUUGGUUUUGUUGCAUCAUUGCUGAUGUUAUGAAAAUAUUGGAUCAGUGAAUACCAAAUCUGUAACCCUGAUACUCCCAUGUCUCAAAAGUUCUCAUUCUUCUCCUUCCUGCUGCCACAUGACAAAGGAUGUGUUUGACUCCCCUUUCAUCAUGAUUGCAAGUUUCCUGAGGCUUCCCAAGCCAUGCUGAACUAGCUGAGAAACACACUGACCACAAAGCCCUGGAUGAUUUCCAAAGCUGUAUGAGAUGAAGAAAAGAAAUGCCAUGGAGAAAUAAGCCAGCAGUCAAAAGAUGCUGCUGUCCACAACUUAAAUGAGAAUUACAUCAAGAAACCCAACUUAAGCCAGCUAGGUGUGCCAAGGGACUGAGACAACUGCCACCAGGCUACACUAAUCCCAAGUCCUGAGAAGAGUCUCAAGAGGGAAGAGAGAACAGAUUCCUUUGAGCACAUUAGAUUGAAACAUUCUAAAUAUAUAAUCAGGUGGUAAGAUUGCUUCAGAAAUAUGCUGACAAUGCAUGAAAAAUUAACAUCCAAACUUAUUUUGCAUUAGUCAGGCCCAUUAGUUGUGCCACAAAAGGAAAAAACAAGUUCAUAUGUUCCUAUUAGUAAGGGAAACUGAAUGCUUAAACUUCUAUCUUACAAAUUAAAUUUUUUUCUGUUUAUUCUUGUGUUGACUCUUAGAGAUUCAAACUUAAAUGACUGUACUCUGCAGCCUCCUAUUGUUUGUUUCCUCGCUCUUCUAUCUGAUACCUAUUCCCACGUUCAUUUUCUCAAAAUACAAUUUUGAUAAUAACAUUUUCUCUGUCUUCAUUAUCUUAGCAUUUCAGAUCUUCUACUCUGUUCUCUGACUCUCACCACGUUUGCUUCUAUUCACAAGUAUGCCUCAGCCAUGGAAAUGGGCCACUCCUAGUUCAAGCUUCUUGCAGAAUAUGUAAGUAAACUGAGGUCUAGAGAGGAGCAGGAAUGUCUAAGAAUGCACAUUUUGUCAAAGUCUUAUUCCUUAAUAUGAUCAGUUUAUUCAGGUUGUGAUGUGUCUAUCAAAUGAUUUGUAUAUAACUAAUUUCAAACAAGUUGGAGUUAACUAACAAGAGAGUGAGAUAGAUGGCAAUCUCAUCAAUUCUCUUCUUCUCUUCCUCCCAUAUGCUUUAAUACAUGUCUAAGGAGAAUAUUCUAAGGAUAAUAAGGAGAAAGCAGUCAACCACUGUUCACAUUUCCUGAUUGAUUCAACAACCCUCAUAAUAUUCAGUUUUGAUGAUAUUAAGGUUGACUCAUGUGCAUGGACCUUAGAGGCAGACUAGAUUCUUGCUACACUCAACUUUGACAUGACACAUGGGAGAAAGUAGAUUAAGAAGUUUUAUAGGAAUGUAUUGUCUUUGUGGAAGGCUAUUGGCAGAAAUCCUAAGGAUAUUUAAACAUUAAUCCUUUAUUAAAUUUAAGAUUAUCUCUAUUCAUUCUACAAGUAUUACUGAAUUGCAUACUCUAAACCAGGCAGUGUAUUAGGUAAUAGAAAAAUAAACAAAGCCAGUCAGUGUUCUUGUCUUAUUGGAACGUAGAGACCAAGGUAGGAGAUACUGACAUUAGAUACUAAAUCUUAUGAAUGAAGGAUACACACUUUUAUGGCAUAUUCUGUUCCAAAUGUUUGCCUGAUGGUUCUUUGUUCCAAGCUCACUAUUCUAUAUUAUGACCUAAGAGCCAUCCUCCUAGAUUUCCAAGACAACUUUUUCAGCAGUGUUCUCUUAGGUUUUGCCAGUAGGAAGUAAUAAAGGGAGACUGGAGGCAGAGGAGAGCAAGACACUUCUUUCCUGUGUCUUGUUAUUAACACCACCCAGGGGAAGAGGUUUGGUCCAGCCUCCAACUUAUUUUAGCACUUUCAGAACCAGCCUCAUUGUACCCCUUCAGAGAAGCUGCCAGCAGCCAUAUCCUUGAUGUUAAAAACAGGGAUGCUUGCACUGGAGUUCUUGAAAAAAAAAAAUACCAAGUUCACUAGGCUUUAAAUUGUUAGUGCAAGUCUUAGUCAUAAAAAGCUUCUAAAAUCCUUAUAAAAUAAUUAAUAAAGUAUAAUUUAAUUCUAUACAUUGCACAAUUACCAAAAUAAAAAACCCUUGGAUUUAUAGAUUCAUUACAUUUUACAAAUGAAACCUAGAAGUUCUGUGAAAAGACUGGGUUCCUGAGACUUUGAAUGGGGUAUCUAGAAAAACCUGAAUGAAGC